rnacentral:rRNA from 1 species
AUUGAACGCUGGCGGCAUGCUUUACACAUGCAAGUCGAACGGUAACAGGCCGCAAGGUGCUGACGAGUGGCGAACGGGUGAGUAAUGCAUCGGAACGUGCCCAGUCGUGGGGGAUAACGCAGCGAAAGCUGCGCUAAUACCGCAUACGAUCUAUGGAUGAAAGCGGGGGACCGUAAGGCCUCGCGCGAUUGGAGCGGACGAUGUCAGAUUAGGUAGUUGGUGGGGUAAAGGCUCACCAAGCCAACGAUCUGUAGCUGGUCUGAGAGGACGACCAGCCACACUGGGACUGAGACACGGCCCAGACUCCUACGGGGGGCAGCAGUGGGGAAUUUUGGACAAUGGGCGCAAGCCUGAUCCAGCAAUGCCGCGUGCAGGAAGAAGGCCUUCGGGUUGUAAACUGCUUUUGUACGGAACGAAACGGUCCUGGUUAAUACCUGGGGCUAAUGACGGUACCGUAAGAAUAAGCACCGGCUAACUACGUGCCAGCAGCCGCCGUAAUAC